UGCCCCAUGGCUGAGUUGGUUACAGCGUCCGACUGUUACUCCCACCGACGGUCUGGAAAGCAAUCGGAAGGUCGUGAGUUCGAGCCUCACUGGGGCAG